rnacentral:rRNA from 1 species
UACGUAGGGUGCAAGCGUUGUCCGGAAUUAUUGGGCGUAAAGAGCUCGUAGGCGGUCUGUCGCGUCGGCUGUGAAAUUCCGAGGCUCAACCUCGGGUCUGCAGUCGAUACGGGCAAACUAGAGUAUUGCAGGGGAGACUGGAAUUCCUGGUGUAGCGGUGAAAUGCGCAGAUAUCAGGAGGAACACCGGUGGCGAAGGCGGGUCUCUGGGCAAUAGCUGACGCUGAGGAGCGAAAGCGUGGGGAGCGAACAGG